rnacentral:rRNA from 1 species
GCGUAAGCGCGCGCAGGCGGUUUCUCAAGUCUGAUGUGAAAUCCCCCGGCUCAACCGGGGAGGUGCAUUGGAAACUGGGGAGCUUGAGUCCUGAAGAGGGGGGUAGAAUUCCAGGUGUAGCGGUGAAAUGCGUAGAGAUGUGGAGGAACACCGGUGGCGAAGGCGGCUUUUUGGUCUGUAACUGACGCUGAGGCGCGAAAGCGUGGGGAGCAAACAGGAUUAGAUACCCUGGUAGUCCACGCCGUAAACGAUGACUGUUUGGAGGUUGAGGGCUUCCGCCCUUUCUUGCUGAGCCUAACGCAUUAAUCACUCCGCCGGGGGAGUACGGUCGCAAGACUGAAACUCAAAGGAAUUGACGGGGGCCCGCACAACCGGGGGACCAGGGGGUUUAUUUCAAAUCAACCCGAAAAACCUUACCGG